AUUGAACGCUGGCGGCAGGCCUAACACAUGCAAGUCGAGCGCUCGGCGGAAGGGUGAGUAAUGUCUGGGAAACUGCCUGCUGGAGGGGGAUAACUACUGGAAACGGUAGCUAAUACCGCAUACCAUCAGAUGUGCCCCGAUGGGAUUGGCUCGUAGGUGGGGUAACGGCUCACCUAGGCGACGAUCCCUAUCUGGUCUGAGAGGAUGACCAGCAACACGGGAACUGUGGCACGGUCAAGACUCCUACGGGAGGCAGCAGUGGGGAAUAUUGCACAAUGGGCGCAAGCCUGAUGCAGCCAGGCCGCGUGUGUGAAGAAGGCCUUAGGGUUGUAAAGCACUUUCAGCGGGGAGGCGUUACCCGCAGAAGAAGCACCGGCUAACUCCAUGCCAGCAGCCGCGGUAAUUC
rnacentral:rRNA from 1 species